rnacentral:rRNA from 1 species
AGGUGGGGCAGAUGAUUGGGGUGAAGUCGUAACAAGGUAUCCGUACCGGAAGGUGCGGAUGGAUCACCUCCUUUCUACGGAGA